CUGUUUUCGGUUUGUGUGUAUUUUCGUAAAUUACACUAAUCUACUCGGUUAACAAUUUGACACUUAAAAUUCGAGAUCAUCUACAUUUGGCACCAGCCUAAUUUUAUAAGGUAAGCUUAGUUUAAAGCUACCACAAAGGUCAAAACAAUCGUAAGUACACGAUUUUAUUGCUCCUAUAAUCAUUUCCGUUUAUAUAGCCAAAGCCGCAGCGUUAUCCAAUAUUAGUACGGUAGAUUCGUACAUACAAUUAAGUCGAAGACUUUUUUUUAAAAACGGAAUGCGGUACA
rnacentral:lncRNA from 1 species